rnacentral:lncRNA from 1 species
GCCGGUUACAUAAAUGCUGGAAACGAGCCAAGUAAAACAGCCCCCAAACAGAUGGCCAUGUGUGUAAAUGCCAGAAAGUGAGAACAGCCAUUUGCAAUAUUUUUUUAAUACCCCACACAUGGUAUAAUAUUUAUUUUACAGCCUCUCUUAUGGACUUAUGUGGAUCAUUCUUGUCAUUUUUCUAGGAAAAAUUCCCAAAGGAAGCAGUCAUAAAAUACAAGAAGAAAGAAAGAAGGAAAGAAAGAAAGAAAGAAAGAAGGAAGGAAAGAAAGAAAGAAAGAAAGAAAGAAAGAAAGAAAGAAAGAAAGAAAGAAAGAAAGAAAGAAAGAAAGAAAAGGAAAAAGAAGGGAAUAAAUAUAAGAGUGUGUCUUUGGGCAAAUCUAAGUCAUCGGAGUCAUCCACACAACGUCUUCAGGGAUCAAGUAUUCUAGGAAAGUGCUAUCUGUGCCUAUUAAGAAAUGUCAACAAAGGAGAUUUUACAGAACUAAAACUUUUGCAGCUUAAUUCAGGUGCCAUGAAGUUAAAAGUUCAGCAACUCUCAAAGCUGGAUUGGAUAGCAGAUUGACCUGCUUGAUGGAAUCUCUGCAAGGAGUUUCAAAAUAUGGAAAAUUGAGCCCUGAAAUGUUAUGAUGUUGGUAUUGGCAACCAGCACUGCUGAAUUGCAGAGAAAUACAGGAUCCUCCUGCUGUUUCCUUUUUGCUGAAUUCCUUUCUGGCCUCUUGGAAAAGUUCCCUUGGGGCAGUUCUGCAAAUAUAAACCUCCUCAUGUAAAUGAGUUGUUUACCCU